AUUUGUUCAGAAAAACCGAGAAAUGCCAUUGACAAAUACAAAAAUCUAAUAAAUAUCAUCAACGAGUGCGAGUUCUAUAAAAUACCAUUUUACAAGCACUACUAUAAAAUAUCAAAUAGGUGUCGCCACUAUAGGUGCCAGUAGUACUAAAACCGGCACCUAUAGACCUUUUCCUACCUCCACUAGUUGAAAUUACAAAAAAACCGGCACCUUUAAGUAAUUAUUGGUGUCGGUUCUAAAUAAAAACCGGCACAUAUUAUAUUCUGUAUCGGUUUUUUUAAAAAAACCGGCACCUUUAACAUAUUAUAGGUGCCGUUUUUUUUAAAAAAACCGACACCUAUCUAAAUCGAGCCGAGCCGGAGCCGAGCCAGCGGGCCCCACCACGACCGCACGACGAGCAAUGCGAUCGAGGAGAUAAGCCAGCGGAGGCGGAGGCGACAGCGGCGACCGCGCCCUCCCCUUCGCCAGAUCCGGGGGCGGCAGGAGGGGAGGCGCCAGCGGCGGGCGGGGUCGGCGCCAGCGGGGCCGGCGGUGUCGGCAGCGGGUGGCGGGAUGGCCGGAUCCGGCGGCGGGCGGGGUGGCUCGAGGAAGGGAGGCGGCGGAGGACCCGCCAGCGGGGAAGAGCCCUCCCCUCCGCCAGAUCUGGCGGGAGGGGAGGCGGCGGCAGGGGCGGUGAUGGGGAGGCAGCGACAGUGCGACAACGACUCAUGCGACGAUGACUUCAUCCGGCGGCAUCUUCUACCCUCCCCUCCUGCUUCUUCUCCGGUGAUGAAUGUUGUGAUUUUUUUAUUGCAUAAAUUUGUGUUGUGGGAUGAUUGUUGUGGGAUGAAUCCAUCUUUGAAUGCUGUGGGAUGAAUCAGUCUUUGAAUGUUGUGAUUUGUUCUGUUCUUGCGGAUGCGGGUUCUUGCGGAUGUGGGAGGUCUUGCGAUGCGAUGUGGGAGGAGGGACUGCUCGCCUGCUUGGCUCGAUGCGUCGGCUCGAUCGAGCUGUCACAUCGAGCCGGCUUUUUUUUGAUUCGUCGAACCUAAAAGGUGCCGGUUCUAAGCAACCGGCACCUUUUUAUUUUCAAAUCAGUGCCGCCUUCCUUGUGCCGGUUGGGAAAACCGGCACCGAAGAGGGUUCCCCAACCGGCACUGAAAUCAUUUUCUGUAGUAGUGAAGCGAUUUUGUCCCAUAAAUAUUAUUGUCGUUAAGGUUCAUCCAUCCCGCGCCAUUAAAUGCACUGUUCAUCCUAUAGCAUUCAACGAGGGAUGCUAACGGAACUCUAACGGUGAAGGUAUUUUUGGGACAAAGUCGUAUGCACAAUGGUAUUUCA